rfam:Dialister succinatiphilus YIT 11850 genomic scaffold supercont1.1, whole genome shotgun sequence.
GGACACAACUCUGGAGAGUCCCAUUCGAUUGGGCGCCGAAGGUGUAAAGGGAUUUCACCCGUAAAUCCCGAAUCUCUCAGGCAAAAGGACAGGGCUGGCAGC